CCUACGGGUGGCAACAGUGGGGGAUAUUGCACAAUGGGGGAAACCCUGAUGCAGCGACGCCGCGUGGGUGAAGAAGUAUUUCGGUAUGUAAAGCCCUAUCAGCAGGGAAGAAAGAAGACGGUACCUGACUAAGAAGCCCCGGCUAACUACGUGCCAGCAGCCGCGGUAAUACGUAGGGGGCGAGCGUUAUCCGGAUUCACUGGGUGUAAAGGGAGCGUAGACGGCCGUGCAAGCCAGGAGUGAAAGCCCGGGGCCCAACCCCGGGACUGCUCUUGGAACUGUGCGGCUGGAGUGCGGGAGGGGCAGGCGGAAUUCCUGGUGUAGCGGUGAAAUGCGUAGAUAUCAGGAGGAACACCGGCGGCGAAGGCGGCCUGCUGGACCGCGACUGACGUUGAGGCUCGAAAGCGUGGGGAGCGAACAGGAUUAGAUACCCGUGUAGUC
rnacentral:rRNA from 1 species